rnacentral:lncRNA from 1 species
UUUUUUCUCAACGUUGACAUGUUAGUAUUAUAAUCUGUGACAAUGAUCUGUGACAUUGUCAAGGUGACAGUUGUUAGUUGACAUACGAUUAUUUCUGAUGUUUGGUGGUCUUCAUUUUGUAUUGGCAAAAAUAUAUCUCCAACUCCUAUCUCUAAAGACGAUGAUAACCAUUGUGAAGAAUGACAUGCAAAGGCUAUUAGAACCACAUAUCAACAAUUUUCUGACCAUGACCAAGUGAUGAAUAUGAUAAAAGUCUACCUCAUGAAAGCCACACUACUUUUCAAAGAAAAAUAUUUUCUUUGGAGUUGUAGGUAUUAUAGUGAAAACUUAAUCUUGACUUCUGUUCUGCAUAAAUGAGAAUCGCACUAUGCCAGGUAACAUAAUGUAGCGAGUACCCUGGUUGAGUCAAGAUAAUAUAAAAUAAGUGGAAAGAUAAUGUGGCCCAAGUAGUAAAGGAAAGGAUGUGCAAACAGCCGAAUGUGAAUCUGGCAAUAAUGUGCCUGUUUAAAUGAGUUUUAGUUGAGUACCAAAUAGUUACCUAGGUUUUCCUGGGAAAAACACUGAUCCAGCCUUU